GGGCCCGCACAAGCGGUGGAGCAUGUGGUUUAAUUCGAUGAUACGCGAGGAACCUUACCAGGGCUUAAAUGUAGUAUGACCGGCUUGGAAACAGGCCUUCUCUUCGGAGCAGAUUGCAAGGUGCUGCAUGGUUGUCGUCAGCUCGUGCCGUGAGGUGUUAGGUUAAGUCCUGCAACGAGCGCAACCCCUAUUCUUAGUUGCCAGCGGUUCGGCCGGGGACUCUAAGAAGACUGCCAGCGCAAGCUGAGAGGAAGGUGGGGAUGACGUCAAAUCAUCACGGCCCUUACGUCCUGGGCUACACACGUGCUACAAUGGUAGAGACAGAGGGCAGCCAAUGCGCAAGCAUGAGCGAAUCUACAAAGCUGGUCACAGUUCGGAUCGGAGUCUGCAACUCGACUCCGUG
rnacentral:rRNA from 1 species